GAUGAACGCUGACAGAAUGCUUAACACAUGCAAGUCAACUUGAACUUCGGUUUGGGUGGCGGACGGGUGAGUAACGCGUAAAGAACUUGCCUCACAGAUAGGGACAACAUUUGGAAACGAAUGCUAAUACCUGAUAUUAUGAUUAUAUGGCAUCGUAUAAUUAUGAAAGCUAUAUGCGCUGUGAGAGAGCUUUGCGUCCCAUUAGCUAGUUGGAGAGGUAACGGCUCACCAAGGCGAUGAUGGGUAGCCGGCCUGAGAGGGUGAUCGGCCACAAGGGGACUGAGACACGGCCCUUACUCCUACGUGAGGCAGCAGUGGGGAAUUUUGGACAAUGGACCAAGAGUCUGAUCCAGCAAUUCUGUGUGCACGAUGAAGUUUUUCGGAAUGUAAAGUGCUUUCAGUUGGGAAGAACAAAAUGACGGUACCAACAGAAGAAGUGACGGCUAACUACGUG
rnacentral:rRNA from 1 species